UACGGAGGAGGCAAGCGUUAUCCGGAAUUACUGGGCGUAAAGCGUGCGCAGGCGGUUUUGUAAGUUCUGUCGUGAAAGCCCCGGGCUCAACCUGGGAAUGGCGAUGGAGACUGCAAGGCUUGAAUCUGGCAGAGGGGGGUAGAAAUUCCACGUGUAGCAGGUGAAAUGCGUAGAGAUGAUGGAGGAACACCGAUGGCGAAGGCAGCCCCCUGGGUCAAGAUUGACGCUCGAUGCACGAAAGCGUGGGGAGCAAACAGG
rnacentral:rRNA from 1 species